UGGCGCCGCCCAGCGUGUUCUGGAAGAAGCCCCCGCAGCUCAGUGGCGCCCAGGAGCCUGCGGGGUGAGAAGGUGGUCUCAGCCAGAGGGAGCAGGUUUUUGGCAACAAGGGAUGAGAUUUGAAGCUGAAUGUUAAUGGCCUAUAGGGCAAGAUGCUCAGACAAGGCACCUGCUGAACCCUUCGAGUUCACUGCUCUUCUUGUCCCCAAGAGCUGUGGAUGAGUGGACUAUCUAUUGUGUCAUCACUAACAAAUCCAGUUUAUCUUGUCACUGUGGCGAAAGACCAUACAGGCAAAGCAUCCCCUGUGGGAAAUCAAAACUACCCCGGAAGCAAUAACCACCCCCUGGAGGAGGAACUCCAGCGACCCAGACCACCCAGGCCAGUUUGAACUUAAUGCCAACUCAGGCCUGCACAGAUAGACCAUGAAGUGACUCCUGGAGUUCCCAACAGUUACCUUUAGCUCACUAUAAUACUAAGAUCUCUGCCCAAGGCACAAGCCUCAUUUACAUGACAUACAAUGCAUUGAUUGUCAUGUUUCCUUAAGUCACAAGAGCAAUGCUACGCCUGCCUCUACAAAUGAUGAACAAGGCCUCCCUUUGUAAGUAUUUAUCCCUAACCCUAAAUAAAAGGAACCCAUUUACCUUUGUUUGGUAAAUCACAGU